AUACGUAGGUGACAAGCGUUAUCCGGAUUUACUGGGCGUAAAGGGCUUGUAGGCGGUCUUGCAAGUCAGAAGUGAAAUUCCUGAGCUCAACUCGGGCGCUGCUUCUGAAACUGCAGGACUUGAGUGCUGGAGGGGAUAGCGGAAUUCCUAGUGGAGCGGUAAAAUGCGCAGAUAUUAGGAAGAACACCGGUGGCGAAGGCGGCUAGCUGGACAGUAACUGACGCUGAGGCGGGAAAGCGUGGGGAGCAAACAGGAUUAGAUGCCCGGGUAUUCCACGCCGUAAACGAUGAAUACUAGGUGUGGGGGGACUGACCCCCUCCGUGCCGCAGUUAACACAAUAAGUGUUCCACCUGGGGAGUACGGCCGCAAGGUUGAAACUCAAAUGAAUUGGCGGGG
rnacentral:rRNA from 1 species